CCAGGGUCUGUAGUGAUGCCUCUAGCACUGAGCUGCAGUGCCUUAGACCGCUGCGCCACUCGGGUUAUCUCGGUGGAAGCCAACAAUCUGCUCCAGUUGGAGCAGUUGGAUGGUCGACCACUGAAAGUACUGACGUUCUACACUUCGGUGAAGCCCAAUAGACAAAGUAUGUUAAGCGUUGGUUGACAUUUGAGCAAGCAAGAAAUGGUAGUUAUGCUGAGCUUAUAAAAAUGUACCUCUUCAAUUGACCUCUCCGAAUGACUUCAGGACCAUCGACUGUCCGAGCCCCCCAGGAAGUAUCCCAUCCACCAGAACCAGUGAGUUCGGAUCAGUCUGAUUAUCUGUGCUCUGAGUCAGAGGAGGGCCAGCUUGAGGACCUAGGGGUUCUGUCCAACACCCAGACGUGGAUCCACCUGAUGUCCUCCAUUACCUGUUCCCCAAGACCUAAGGGUUCUGUCCAACACCCAGACGUGGAUCCACCUGAUGUCCUCCAUUACCUGUUCCCCAGGACCUAAGGGUUCUGUCCAACACCCAGACGUGGAUCCACCUGAUGUCCUCCAUUACCUGUUCCCCAAGACCUAAGGGUUCUGUCCAACACCCAGACGUGGAUCCACCUGAUGGAUCCACACCUUCAUUACCAACCACCCCCCAAUUUUUCAUUACAUAAUCUACAGCUACUGUUAUUGUCAUGUUGUCAUUAUCUGCUAAGAACGUUUUCUUGAUCUAUCAUACUGGGCACAUAAUAUGUGAGAUACACAGAUUAACGAAAAAACACUAGCACUGCAAACACUUAGAACAAAGAGAGCAGCAGGGCCUGGACUUUGCAUUCUCCCUCUUCAAGUCCCCCUUCUGAGACUGGCUGCCUGUUGAGAACAAGUGACAAACAGAACCUCCCACCCACAUAGCACCCACCCAGGGGCGGAGCCAGAGAGGUGCCACCCCAAAUGUCAUUCGCUACUGGCAGCUUGAUGCUGAUUGACAUCUCAUUUCACCACUUGUUGAAAGAAGCAUUUAUUUUGACAUUCGAAGAAGAAGAAUAAGCAUGCAGAAGAAGAAGAUAGAAUAUUUCCACAGCUCCACCAGCUCUUUUCGCGAUUGGCGAAAGCAUCAUAUUUGAAACAUGUCAAGAUCCAGAGAAGAGGGUCCUGUACAGCCGUUUUUGAAAACAUUUCCCAGAACUCAUCAUGGUAUCAGGAAAAGGGCUUUCAACAGCUCCUGGUAUAAGGACAAUUCAUGGCUUGAAUAUUCUGUUUGUCAAGAUUCGACUUAUUGUUUCGCCUGUAGGCAUUUUUCUCUGCCCAAAACACCUGAAUCUGCCUUCACAUCGCAGUCAUGUUUCUCUGUUCAAUACACCUGAAUCUGCCUUCACAUCACAGUCAUGUUUCUCUGUUCAAUACACCUGAAUCUGCCUUCACAUCACAGUCAUGUUUCUCUGUUCAAUACACCUGAAUCUGCCUUCACAUCACCGUCAUGUUUCUCUGCCCAAUACACCUGAAUCUGCCUUCACAUCACAGUCAUGUUUCUCUGUUCAAUACACC